rnacentral:rRNA from 1 species
UACGUAGGGUGCAAGCGUUGUCCGGAAUUAUUGGGCGUAAAGAGCUCGUAGGUGGCCUGUCGCGUCGGCUGUGAAAACUCGGGGCUCAACUCCGAGCUUGCAGUCGAUACGGGCAGGCUAGAGUUCGGCAGGGGAGACUGGAAUUCCUGGUGUAGCGGUGAAAUGCGCAGAUAUCGGGAGGAACACCGGUGGCGAAGGCGGGUCUCUGGGCCGAUACUGACACUGAGGAGCGAAAGCGUGGGGAGCGAACAGG